rnacentral:lncRNA from 1 species
UUUCUUUUUCUUUUUUUCCUUGUUCCUCUUUUCUUCUUAUGGAUUCUUGCCAAAAAUAGGGGAUCUUCUAGUCUCCAUUUGUUCUCCGGAUUGUGGAGCACUACCAAUGCGGUAGUGGACGAUGACAGCUGGGGCUACGAUGAUGCAACCGAAAGAUUCUAGACCGAUGGUCAAUAGUGACCAUCGAUAUUGGAAAAACUAGAAUGAGGAGGGUGGGAAGCAAGCAA